UACGGGGGGGGUAAGCGUUGUUCGGAAUUACUGGGCGUAAAGGGCUCGUAGGCGGCCAACUAAGUCAGACGUGAAAUCCCUCAGCUUAACUGGGGAACUGCGUCUGAUACUGGAUGGCUUGGAUUCGGGAGAGGAAUGCGGAAUUCCAGGUGUAGCGGUGAAAUGCGUAGAUAUGACAUAGAACACCAAUUGCGAAGGCAGCUUACUACCCGAAUAUUGACACUGAGGCACGAAAGCGUGGGGAUCAAACAGG
rnacentral:rRNA from 1 species